rnacentral:tRNA from 1 species
UGUAGCUUAGUGGUAGAGUGUUUGUCUAGUCUAUAAAAGCCCUGGGUUUGAUCCCCAGCA